UACAGAGGUCUCAAGCGUUGUUCGGAUUCAUUGGGCGUAAAGGGCGCGUAGGCGGUCGUGACAAGUCACUUGUGAAAUCUCCGGGCUUAACUCGGAACGGUCAAGUGAUACUGUCGGACUAGAGUACAGAAGGGGCAACUGGAAUUCUCGGUGUAGCGGUGAAAUGCGUAGAUAUCGAGAGGAACACCUGCGGCGAAGGCGGGUUGCUGGGCUGACACUGACGCUGAGGCGCGAAAGCCAGGGAGCGAACGGG
rnacentral:rRNA from 1 species